AAGCUAUGAAUGUUGUUACCUGAAGCCUUGAUGAAAUAUGAACUUCAGGGGAACCCACAGAAGUACCAUGCCUCCUGAUCUCAAAAUCCUGAAUUGAACUAACGGAUGGUCGAAGAGAUGAAUCUACAGCUGAAAUAUGCGAAGCUGGAACUUUCUCAAGAAAUAAUGGCUGUCCAUCCAUUUGAUGACAAACCCACAAGAAAAAUUUGAAGAAGAAGCUAAAUGUUAAUGAUUUUCGAAAUUCAACCAUCCCACCAGGUGCAUCUUCUUUCAGCACAAUUUCCUUCUCCAGAAUUUUCAAAGAAUCCUGUAGCAGCUCUUUGUUCCAACUUUUCCCGAUUAAGAAGUCACUAGUUUUUGAUGCAGCAAAUGAAAGUGGAGCAACCCCACCAUAUACAAUCAAAGCAUCUGAAACUACCCAUUUCUUGUCCUUCUCUUCAAGGCAGACACGCAUUCCGGCAUUGACGAUGGCAAUAUCAUCAUCUCUCCUAUGAGAUUGUUUAAAUUCUUUCACAAACUCGAAUGGCUUAUUCCAAGGCAAUGAUACUGACAGUAAAAUUUCACUACUUGUCAGAUCCACUUUACGAUAGCCCCGGAAGAAAUUUUUAGCCAGACAUGUUCUGACAUUUCCUUUGCAGUCAAUUAUUCGAAACUUCGCUCCUGUUGCCAUCCAAAGAGGGUUCAAAUCUGAUAUUGGGCUCGCAGUGCAGAUAUUCCCACCAACUGAUGCAACAUUUCGUAUUUGUGUUCCAGCAAACCACUUUAUCUGUUCGAUGAGAGCUCGACAUGAUGAUGUUUCGUACUCGGGGCGGUUAUUUCUUACCUUCUUUAAUACAUCCACAAGCUGUGACAACUUAACUCCAGCACCUAUUUCUAAGCCAUCAUCCUCAACACUUAUAUGGUUAAGUUCCGGAACAUGUGCAACAGAUAUUAAUAUAGGAUAGUGAAUACCUUUAAGCCUGACUUCAAUUCCCACCUCUGUAUUUCCAACAACUAACCGGGCAUCUGGAAAUCUUGCUUUUAAAUCCAACAGAUGUUGAAAUUUUACGGGCCUAUACCACUUCCGUCCAUUUGAUCCACUUAAACUUAAAUAAGUCAAUUUCCUUAAUAAAAGUUCAGGAGGAAAAAUAAGUUCUUUGCUGGUGUAUGUGGUUCCAUCGGUUUCGUUGUAAGAAAACGGCUUCCAGCCACAAUCAUUGCUUAAAUUUUGUUUGAUGGUUUCUUCACUAUUUUCAGCCUUCGGCCCACAUGAACAAGGCUUACCCGUUGAAGGACAAAUAAAUUCACCAGUAUUAAUGUCUUGUAAAGAUGUGUUGGUGUAUAAAGCAUUAUUUGUUUUUGCAAAUACCCGAAAUGCGUCAACAAUUGGCCUAUAACCAGUACAUCGACAUAAAUUUCCGGCAAGGCUUUCUUCAAUUUGUUCUUCUGUAGGCUGUUCUUUAGAUGAUCGUAGUAAUGCAUACAUGGACAUGACGAAACCAGGAGUACAGAAUCCACAUUGUGAACCAUGCGAGCGAGCCAACGAUUCCUUUAGAAUGUCGUUGAAAAGCAGAGGAGUUACAAGAAUGUUGCAUACAUCAUGAUCCAUAAAAGGUACUAUUUGAAUUAACAAAUGACGUUGAAAAAACAUGCGAAAAUCAUGGGACAUGUGAAACCAACUAAUGUACCUGAAUUGGGUGCAAUCCAGCUUUGCGGUUCCCAAUUCCCUCCACUGUGAUGACAUGCAUCCCUUCCACAGAAUAUAGAGGAGCCAAGCAUGCAUUUACUGCAUGGUGCCUAUAGAGAAAAUACAACUUUAUAAACUGAAUAUGAUUUAUGGAAAUUUUUAAUAGUCAUAUACUAACUGAAUGGGAGGGAUGCACUGGGGGCCAAUCAAAUCAAGCAGACUUCAAGUUUACCAAUUUAUUGCUUGCUAAUAAAUUAUUAUGAUUAUAUUCUUUUAUCUCUUAACUAGGGAUGGAAAAAUGGGUAAUUUAUAUGGGCACCUAUUCAAAUUACCCAUCUUAAAUGAGUUGGGUGCCCAUACAAAUUACCCAUCUUAAAUGAGUUGGAUACCCAACUCAUUUAAAAUGAGUAAAAAACGAGUCAAACUCAUUUUACCCAUUUAAAAGUGGGUAGUUAAAUGGGUAAAGGAGACUCAUUUAUAAAAGAAAGAAAAGUGACAUUAAUAUUUUUUUAAGGUGUAGGUGGUCGGGGUAGGGAUGGGUGGGAUAAGGAAAAAAAUCGUUUUUUUUUAAAACAAAUUUUUUUUUUGGAAGGGGCUGGGGAAGAGGGGUCGGAGUAGUAACAAAAAAUUCAUUUUUGAGGCGUUGGAGUUGGGGGUGGGGAUGGGCAGGUUAAAUUUAAAAAGUUUUGAGUAUUUUUGUUUGGGGGGGGGGGGCGGGCAGUGGGGGUGAGGUAAGAGAUUUUGCUUUUAAAGCUUUUAACAUGAUCCCUAUAUGGAUACCCAUAUUAUCCAUUGGGUAACUCAUUUUUACCCAUUUCAAAUAUGAGUCCAGUUGAGUAUUUUACCCAUUUUUAUACUUAUUUUCGAUCGACUCAUAUUCGACUCGACCAGCUCGUUUGCCAGUCCUACUCUUAACUAACCAUAUUUUUUGUUGAAGUGUGUGACCAUCUCAUCUAAAAGCUUUUGUCUGCUCUAAUACCAUGUUGAAGUGUGUUUCGAUCUCAUCUAAUAGCUUAAGCUGUUAGAGAGAACACACUUUAUAUUAGUUAAUUAUAUUCUCAACAUUUUUCAACUAGUUUCUCUGUACUCUCUUAGUCAAAUACAUUUGCCAAAGACUCGCAUCACCACCACUCCAACCAUCCCAACCAGAGAACUUAUAGCAGAAUAAGAUAUCAUCUCAAAGCCAGGAUAAGCAGUGUUACAGAAAGCUCAUGCUCAAUGGAUACUAGAAUGAAGACUAUAUAUCUAGCAUGAUAAUUGUUCAUUUCAGGUUUCAGUAGUAGCGGUCUCAUAUUUUUUCUCGUGGUGGUGCUUUCUUUUGGGCAUGGGGCUUACGUACUUGUCAAGGAUUCACAUAGUAAUCAUAAGAAAUAUGGAUGCUUUAUUCAUUUUUUAAGUAACCUUCCCAACUGACUUCUAGGUUAAACUAGUAUUAGGUCAGGCCAACGCCAAAGGGUUCACAACCUGUAACUAGUCUGCUAGAACAGAUACAGAGUGAUAAGGUCUCUGAACUUUCCACCUCCCCGAUUCUAAAGAAAGCUUGUUUCGUUCGUUGAAGGAUACAAAAUCAAUUGAGGAUAAAGAACAUUUAUUCAAUCAGCAGCCAUCUUCUAGAACUAUGCGGAGAGCUAUCUGCUAUCCAUCUUGACAGCUAUCAUACUUCUUUAGAUGUUAAACAGACAUCAGUUUACAGGAAUGAAAACGUAUCUCCUACAAUUACCGAAGACCCACCUAACUGACUUCCUCCGCUCAUGCAUGGCUGAGUAACAGACAAACAAAUAGUACUAAGAGCGACAGAAGUAAAAGGAUGACAAAGGCGAAAGCUUUACUGCCUGAUACAAUCAAUAACUUCAUUCCCUACCACCCAAAAUGAAAGUGAGUAACAAUUUGGGGAUUCAAAAACUAACGAGAAAGAUCUCAGCUCUCAGAGUAAUCACACAACUGAUCAGAAGAAAAACAUCCCACAGAUCAAGACAUGGAUCACACCUAUCCAGCACAAAUUAUAACCCAUGCAAAUGCAAACAAGUGCAGAACUCAUUGCUAUCCACUAAAUCAUGCAUAAACCUGCACACCCCAAAAGAAGAUAUAAGAGAGACUUGGAGACGUAGGUGGAUAGAGAUGGAAAGAGACUCACACACAUUUCUUCAAAUUCUGAUCAAAAAAAGAAACCAUUACAGUGCAUGCCCCACACCCACCUUCACCACAGCCUAGCUUGGUGCCUGUCAGGCCUAUUUCUGCAUAGCCACAGAGAAAGAGCAACUUCAGAUAAACCACCAAAACACAAUCAGAGAGAGACUGAGAGGAUAAAAUCCAGAUCAAUCAUCUGAACAGAAAUAAAAACUACAACUUCCUGAAGUAUUGGGCAACAUAGACUCGUAAGAGGUGUAGUGAGUUCUCAAGACAAUGUAUAAAACAUAUUCAUUAAAAAGUACCAACAACUGCAUAAAAGCUACAGAUUGGCAGCAACUCGAAAAUGGACUCAACAAAUUUUUAUCACUAUAUGUAUACAACUGCAUAACUAAAGGGUAAGUACAAACACAUCAAUUGCUCAGCCAGCAAGCCACAAACUGUAUGAAAAUGGAGAUUGAAUUGAUCAGAUGAUGCCCAAGUCUAACGAAUAGAAAAGUGAGAGAAGGAAGUAAUUGGUUGUUAAUGUUGAAAUAUACAAAAUAUAUGUACUGAACAAUAAAGGUCUUAAGAUCCAACCUGCACCAAUUUACAAGAUCAAACACCAGCAGAAGUUAAGACUACAGAAAAUAUAAUUAACUGUAUGUCACUGAACAGUUGGAAGUCAUCCCGGUACGUCAACAUUAGCUAACCCACUAAUAUUACUAUUUAAUAUAAGGGACUAUCACAAACUUCUGUCAUACUCUCAAUAACACAUAUCUACUAUCUACAUCUUUUUUUAUAAAUAUAAUUUUCGAAUAAUUCUUCCUCCUCUUGAUCCAAUCUUUUAAAGUUACUUCACCUAUCAUCCUUGGUAAUGGUCAACUUUUUCAAAAGCACGCGAACUCCUCAAUCUCCUGCUUACAGCAUGUUUGAUCAAUUUUGUAAAAAUCUGUUAACUUUGAAAAAUAUUUUCUAUUUUUUUAUAGUAAUAAUUUGUAUUCGGCUAAUCAAAUUUACUUUUACCAAUAUUAAAACAGUAAUUUAUGCUUGAUAAAGUUUCCGAAAAUGCUUCUGGGAAUUUUUAAACUUUUGGAAAAUAUCUUCUGUUACUAUUCAAAAACGCUUAUUUUGCUCCUAUAAGCUAUAUAAAUCACCUAAACUCUCUACAAUAAGCACUUUUAAUUCUUGGAACUUAGCCAAACACGUUUUCAAUCUUCCUUGUCAUUUUCUACUUAAGACAUAUCAAGUUGUCUUUAGUAGUGUACAACUACUAUCACUCAAUCAAAAGUCAGUGCUCUACUUUUUUUAAAAGCUACUAUUCCUUCAACUUAUCUCUACAUACUACCUCCAUUUUGAUUUGUUUGUCAGAUAUUAACUUGGAAAUUCUUCCGGGCCACGUAAGUGGAUAAAGCACAGAGUACCAGAGAGAACGUUAAGAAACCCGAAAAUAUACUAAACAUAUGAAAUCCACAGAUUAAACCUAGCUGGAGAAAGCAUAGUCCUUUCAGUAUUUAGAUUUACACUAAUAAAAAUUACCCAAAUUGAACAUUUACCAUAGAAACAAAACAGGAAUACAGCUCAGCACAAGUACGUCCAAGCUUAAUCAAAUCCCAAACUUGAAAAUUUGAGUUUUUAAAGUUAUGAUUUUCAAAAACCUGAUGUUGUCUGGACAUGCAUAUUAAAGUUUUAUGGACAAAAGUGAAAUUUCUCCCCAAAAACUGGCUUAAAGAUCAAAUUUUUAAUAUCUAAUCAAAUUUCAUGGUCAAUAUCUUGAUCCAAAAUCAAUAGUCAAAUGCCAACUUAGUUCAUUGUUCAUCUAAAACUGUUUCUGACAAGAAAAAAAGAGAAAAAACCCACAAAACUAAACUUAAAAACUAACCUCUAAGAUAUUCAAGAAGAGUCAAAUGGGCUAAUCCAUCAGGUAACACUCGACGAACUCCAUUAACAUACAAAAUUGCUUCCUUUGAUUCCUCUUCUAUCCUUUCCUCCUUCAUCAUAGAACCCAUUUUUUCCAGAAAAGGAAAAAAAAUCAGCGAUGAAAAAGUGUUGGGGUUUGAUUCGGCUAAAAAAAGAUCCAAUAAGUAUUAAGUAGUAGUAAGAGAUUUUGUUGUAGAAAUCAGAGUCGGUAUGACUACAAUUUUGUGGUUACCUAUUGUUUCAUAACUAUCAAGAUUUGUUGUGGAAAUUAGAGUCAACUUUCACUAAAUUUUUGUGUUAACGCUGUUAAGUAUUGUUUUAUAAUAUAUCUAAAUUUUGUUGUGGGAAUCAGAGUCAGCUUUCACUAGAACUUUGUUUGGAUGGCGGUUACAUAUUGUUUCAUAAUGUAUCUAGUAAGAUUUUUGUUGUAAAAAUCAGAAUCGGUUUCUACUAAAACUUUGUUUGUUUGGAUGGCGGUUACGUAUUGUCACAUAAUAUUACACAUUUAUAAUAUGAAUGGUAAAUCUGCCAAAAAAAGAAGGAUAUAGAGUAGAGCUACUAUGAAAACGUAAGAUAAAAUGAAAUAUGAUUAUUAAAUAUAAUAAAUAAAAGAAAAAAUGAGAAAAAAUAUAUUAAGAUAACGACAUAAUCAUUGUUACAUAAAUUGGAUUUUUUCAUCAUUACCUGGUUGAAUUUAAACGAUGCGAUACAAUAAAAUUUAAAUAACAAUUAAAAUAAAUAUUAUAUUUAAAUUAACAAUACAAUAUAAUACGUCUUAUAACAAUCAUCCAAAACAAGGGGUAAGAUGAUAGACACAAGCUACGUACUAUAUAUAGGGUUGGAUCAAUGAUUCCGAUAAGUAUUAUUAUUUAAUAUUAAGAGAUAAAAUACAAGGAAAAGGUUCUCUUCUUCUAAAAAUAACAGAUAAAAAUAAUAUAGGUUAAUUUCCUCCUUGAUUGAUAGUAAUGUUGUUAAAAAUAUGGUCAAAUGGAUGACCAUAACUCCUAGGUUUAUUUCUUUUGUUAUAGGUAGUAAUUCUCAAGGUUUAAUGUAAUAUUUAUGACACCCUUUGAUAUUCCUCAACAUAAUCCUAUAAAUAGUGGUGUUAAGAAUAAUGUUGAAUACACUCCAAGAAAGAAAGUUAUCUUAUAUUGUUCCUCUUGUCUUUUAUUUUUUUGUCUAAUCUUUAUAUUGUUCUUUUGUUCUUAAAUUUUACAACAUAUUAUUUAAUAUAGUUGACAAAUAAAAAUAAGGGAGAAAAGUAUGGUAUUUUAUUUUUUAAUCUUGUGAGAACAUGUUAGGUGAGAUUAUCUGAAUUAAAAAGUAAUUUGAUUGGAUCUUAUUAUUAAAAAAAAAUAGGAUAACUCUUUACCUCGUGAUGUUAAGCGUAUUAUUUUAAAUGUUAAAUUUCAGAAUUAUAAAUAAGUAUAUAAAUAAGUAUUAAUUUAAACAAAUUAAAAAAGGUAAGACACAUAAAGUUAUAAGAAAGUAUAUAAAAAAUAAAAACACUUCAACUAAAAUAACAGUCAAUUUUUAAAAUACUAUCUUCAAAUUUGAAAACUCAGCCAAAAUCAACUAGAAAUUCAUAUGAAAAGUAUAUGAAAAGUGGAAAGCUUUCGAAUCAAAAGUUGAAUUACGAUUUUAUCCAUACUAUAAAUUAAAAUAUUAUAAAAUAUCUAAGAAAUGAAAUAUUAAAUAGUACUUAUAUCAUAUUUAGAUAAUUCAUUUGUCAAUCAAAAUAGAAGACAAAAAAUGGUUCUUUCAAUUCUAACAAAAAUAAAAAAAAGGUCCAUAGAAUGUUUUUGAUUGUUUUGGAAACAUUUAUUUAUUAUUGAAAUUUAAUACAUUAGAUGUAUGGGUUACUAAUAGGGAUUUUAAAACGUCAUAAUUUCUUGUGUUGACCGUAAGUUUAUCUCUUUAAAUUUUUUUUCCUUAAUAUACUUUGUAUAAGCAUUUAGUAUAUGAAACUAAUUAAAAUAUAUUUUCCAUGUUAAUUUCUUUUGUUUUUUUUAAAAUAUAUUUUUAGACAGAUAGUUAUGGGAUGGGAGCCAUAAUUAAUUUAUAAUUUCAAAAUAUAGGUAUGAAUCAUACACAUAUAAUUUUGUAUAUGAAGAUUCUGCUGAAAAUUGUGUAAAGGUAAAAUUUUGAAUUAAUGAAAUCAAUAUUUGAUUUUGUGAUGUAUAUUUACGAUAACGAAAUUACUUAACAUAGCCCGUCUCCAAUUACAAUAAAGGAAUUACUCAAUCUAGCAAUCGAAAUGACUUAAGAACAUGUACCAAUGAUAUCAUCUCUAUAAUAUAUUAGGUGAGAUAUAUUUAAUUACAUGUUCUUACCUUAUUUAAAAAAAAAUCCGCAUGUUCCUAGUAAAAAAAUACUAUUUUUUUAUCUUAAUAAUAAAUACGAUAUUCAUGCAUUUUUACUGCAAAAACAACUCAUUCUAUAGUAAUUCAUAUCCAUUUUGCAUAUUAUUCUUUCAUGAUUAUUAUUUAAUGCAUACUAUAUUAUACAAGUCGAUAUAUAUGUUGCGUCGCGUGUUUUUCCAACUCAACAUUAUCAAAUGUCACAUAAGUUCGGUCAAUGGUCAUAGAGAUUUAAAACAUUGUGUUCUAAUGAGUUUAGGGAUUUAGUUGACAAAUUGAUAAGUAGGAAGGUCCAACUUACAAAUGUAGCCAAGUACAGAGCUCUCCCAGGUCAUUUUCAUAUAUAAAAACACACUACCCAAGAUAAUGAUAAUUAACUCUUCGAAAGUAAGUUUUUCACGUAAAAAUUUUUGAAAUGUUGUAGGGUCAUUUCUUCCAUUCAUAUAUUACAAGUGUUCGAAACAAUAAUGAAGCAUCUUUAUUACACGUUAUUAUAAAGUGUUGCAUAAUGUCACGGGAAAAUGUAAAGAAGACAUCAUAUGAAGCUCUAAGAACUUCACUUAUUCAGUACAGUUCAACCAUCAAACACUUAGCUUUGGGCGAAAAUCAGAAUCCACAACUAGUCUUGUAAAUUCAUCGGUACAAGCCAUUCGAAUACGCUCUGGAGUAGCUGGAUUAUCAAGAGGGAACCAGUCGUUGUAACCAGAUUCCAUCCUUGCAGAUUUUAUGGCAUUCGUGAUGGCGAAAAGGACAGAUGAUGCAAGAAAGAAGGGUGGUUCCCCUACUGCUUUAGAAAAAUGGAUAGCCUUGGCGUUUGGGGCAUUCUGUUGGCAAAUGUCAAGCAGAUUGUUAAAGGCAAAGUCAAGAUAUGGUGUGCAGAUGCAUAUGUACUUCCAAAUAGAAAUAGGGAUAUUAUUAUUGAUAAGCCGAAAAAUUAUUCAAGAAUAAAGGAACAACAAUAUAGUAGUUCAAGUACAAUUGUACUAGGAUUAUAAGCAGUUAAAGAAAUGGUGCAUAGCAGCUCAUUGAUGGAGAUAGCAGUGAAACUUACUUUCAAAAGAGAGACAUUAAAUUUGGAAGGUACAUCAUUCAAAUUGGAAUCUUGUAACUUCCAGGUCCAGAUGUGAAUAAGUAUCCAGGUGAAAUCCACUUGUGUGCUUUAUCGCCCCAUUUCAGCUCUUCUAAUGCAAACCAUCCCAGACCCUGUAGAAAACCUCCUUCUACCUGCAUCAAGUUUAUAAGGAGUAUGCACGAAUGUUAGCAAAACUCCAUUUCAGAUUGAAAGAUGCAAAGAUCCUGUGAGAUAGUGGUUCUAGUUCUAUCUAAAUAUAGACAAAACUGCAAGUCCGCAAAAGAGGGAGGUAAUGGUGUUCUACAAAAUGUAUCCAAGUCAUCUUUGUAGAUAUCAUACAUUAGGAGAAAAGAAGAAUAAAAUGCAGAUCUGAUAAUCCCUGUCAAGCUCAGUACAAACAAAUCGAGACCUUCUCUAAUUCCAGGAAAGGUAGGUAGGCAUUAGAAAUCGGAUCUCUGUUCUUUUUUCUUGUUUACCAUUCAAAAUGAAGAUUACUCAUACAUUACCUACACGUUGAUAGAUCUGAAAAAAGCCACAACUUGCAGCUUCAAUCAUCAAUCACUUCAGCAUUUACUACUCGAUAGUAUAGUUUUAAAUUCAUAUAGUUAAAUUAUUUCAUCAAGCAUACCAGUUAAACAAAUGACAAAAAUCAAAAUGUAUACAUAAACUGUACAGAGAGAACAACAAUGACCUGUCCAACAUCAAUCGCUGGAUUGAGGGAGAACCCAACAUCUACGAGAAGAUCUGCUCGCCUAGUAUGGAAAUCGCCUGUCAAUGUGUCGAUUUCAACUUCGGAAAAUGAAGCACCACUGGUGUAGUACCUAAAUACAUUGCCUUUUCCAGAUUUCCAAUCAAAGCCAAUAUCAGGUGUAACGAAGAACCCAUGAGCAGAAAGGUCUAUUCUCUCCAUGUAGCACGCAUUGACAAGCUGAUAGUUAAUCAAAGACAAGACAUGUGGUUAGUGGUCAAUGUUCCUUUUUAUCAUCAUGAUUCAUGACAGAGCUGUAGAAGAAGGCAGUGCAAAUUUCAGAGUCAAUUUUUGAGGUAGAAACACAAUUUAAGUCAGAUAAAUAAAGAAUUAUGUUCUGAUGAUGAAGGGGAGAUAAAAAAUAUGCAUAAUAAUCCAUCGGGGCUUGGUAAUAGUAUACAGUGUAAUUACACAAGAACAUGGCAUAUAAAGAAAUUUUACUAUUUGCGGCCAGAAGCUUUAUUGGAAAAUGAAAUAUACCAGAAAAUCCUUGUGCUCCAUUACCAAAAAUCCUUCAUGGUAUAGAAUUGUGAAUUCCUAGUUUGUCCUCUUUUUCAAGAAAUUUCAAUUUGAGUUCCUGAUAGAGAAAUGGAUUUUUGUACUUCUUUUUCUGGACUACUUUGGACUGUUCAUCCUUGAGCUGAGGGUCUAUUGGAUUUCGGACUCUCUACCUCAAGGUAGUACACUCUACCCCUCCCCAGACCCCACCAUGGGACUACACUGGGUAUGUUGUUGUAGUAUAGAGCAAUGGAUUUUGGGCCUAACUCAACCCCAAAAGUUAGCUCAUGAGAUGAGGAUUGUCCAAGACCAUACAAAGAGACCAAUUUUUCCUCAUCCCACCAAAGUGGAACUCAACAGUUCCCAAGAAAAUGAUGGGAUAUACUCUAUCUUUUUAAUUCUUUACUGCCUACUAAACUAAAACUUUAAGCAACUAAACAACAAAACUGCUGGCAUUACUAAAGCUAAAAUACAUGUUAUCAAAAAACUCUUGUCAUCCAGCCUUCCUAUGAUCUUGUGACUAGGAGUGUCAUGAUUCAGCAAUAUUUUGUUUCAACAGCAUUCACCAACAUAUCUAUACCACUCUCUUUGGCUACAUAUCCAUGUGUUAAGUCCUCCAUCAGCUUCCGUACUCACUGCAUCUUAUACAAAUACUAUCUGCCGUCCUAGAUGGGCAAGUCCCAUGAGAAGGACAAAUCAUAGACUCCACACAUCAUUUUUUGCUAGUUUUCAGGACUCUUCUUCAAAAUCAUGCCAUUGUAGAGUAGAAAAGUAGAAAGGCGAAUAAUGGAUAUCAUUCAAAGAUUUAUGAAAUUUUGAGUAAAAUUACUUUCCAUCAAAUUGGUAUUAGAGCCAGGCCCCCAUAUUAAAUUGCUCGCGUUACAGAUGUCUAGCCCUGGGCAUGCGGAGGUGUGAAGAGUCCCACAUCGAUAAUGGGAAGGGAAUUUAGACUCUUGCAUGGUCUUGGGCAAUCCUCAACUCUUGAGAUAAGCUAGGCCCAAGGUCCAUUUAUUUAACAGUUGUCAAAGGCACAUCUUAACCUUUUUGAGUUUUUGCAAGUCAGAAGGGGGAUGUCACAUCUUUGCAUCCACUGCUUAAGAAGUGUUACGCUGUGAACUGCCGAUAAGGAGGUUACGGUAUCUGUGUCAAGAAACCAGGAGGAAACAUUGUAGGGUAGGGACAAUUAAAUAAUUUGAAGGUGGAAGGAAGGUGUGUUAGGGCAUAUGCAUAUAUCGCUCUCUAUCUGAAAGAUGAUGUCUGAUUACAUCUUAAACAUAGGAAGAUCAAGCAAAAUGGAGAAAAAGAAGACUAGGAAACAGAAACUAAACAGACAAUAUAAUAAGGUUGAUCACAAGCCAUAACUGAUUUGACAACAGCCUCCAUGUUUUCUCUUUAAUUUAAUAUUAUUUAUUGUACCUAUUACGCCAUUAAAUUAAAGAGAUUUGCAAGAAAUUCAUAUUUAUAAUUUCCUCUCAUCCUUGUCCAAGAAUAAGUCAUCAACAUAUUUUCAAUGACAGACAGAGAAAUAAACCGGAAUAGAAAUGAAAUAACAUAAACUCAAAAUUGAAAAGAUCAUUUAAAAUCCAGGACAAAAGGAGAACCUCUGCAAAAGAGCUGAAGUUAUUCUUGGAUGCAAUAGGUUCCAUCCGUGCUUUUAGUUGCUCACAUGCAUCCAGUACUGCAGCUCCAUACAGGUCAGAACUUACAGAAGCAGCUGUUGCUGAGGCAUUUGGAACCUGGAUUGGCGAAAAAGCCGAUGAGACAAGCAAUAAUUUUCAUAAAGCGAAUAACAAAAAUGGCAUGCAUGAUGCAACACAAGGAUUUUGAAUAAAAUUUGAUGUGCUAUGAAGAAUUUCCUGCCCCUCUCCCUAUCCAAGGAACAAAGCAUCGUUGAUCCAAGGAAGAUCAAUUUUGCCUUCUCUGAAGAUAGUUAUUAUAUACUUUAAAAUUUUCAGGUUGCCAGUAAAGGCAGUGGCAAAGCUCAAUAUCUACAGAAACUGAAUAAAAUUUAGAAUAUGUUCAAGUUCUUAAUAUCGGUUAUUCAACUUCUUGUUUAGUUCAUUAUCUCUCAUCGCCAUCUAGCACAUUCCUAGCUCUUUCUCUCAUCACAGCAUAAUUUUAGAAUCAAAAUAAGUGUUAAGUCACAUGAUUCCCAGUUUCUUCACCAAUAGAAAAUUAGAAGCUUCAAACGAUGAUAUACUGUUAUUUGUCUCACACCCAAUACCUUGUCAGUACUUGUCUCUGAAAUGAACACUGCAUUUAGAGGGAUAUUAAAGGAAGAUGCAGCAAUCUGGCCAAGCUUUGUAUGCAAACCUUGGCCCAUCUCCACACCCCCAUGAGUGACUAACACAGUUCCAUCUGUGUAAACUUGAACAAGAGCACCUGCCUGUAGUGAAUCAGUCAGUGAAUAACCAACAUAAAUAUUUGGGAUUAUACUUUAUCAUAAAAUAAAUAUAUGAAAAACUCAGCAUCGAACAAAGUACUGUUUACGAAGAACCGGAGACAAUAGCUUGGGUUGGUCAGCAAACCUUUGCUGAAAGCAGUGUCCAGAUAAAAUAAAGGCAAUAUAAUUGAUAUCCUCAUUUACACAAAGGAACAAGGACCUAUGUGGGAACUCUAGGUUGUACAGCAAAGACAUCAACUUACCUGGUUAACAAACUUCGUUGUGAAAGAUAUCCCAAGGUUGGUUGGCACCAUGGCAAUACCUCGCUUUUUCCAUCGAUUAUGUCGAUUGAAAUUUUCAACUUCUUUUUGAGCAUUAAUGAAGUCACAAGAAGAUUUCAAUUCAUUCCAGACUCUCCCCAAGGUGCAGUCUUCAACUUUCUGACCAUAAUAUAAGAUUGAUCCUUUACUGACAAAAUUCAUUUCCUGGUGAAAAAGAGAAACAAUUUCUAUAUAUAACCUGUGAGACUAAAGAAAGCAAGGGACAAUGAAGCAGCUGACAUGCAUCUCAUAUGAAGAAAGACUAGUUAGAAAAUCAUCAGAAGCACAAGGCAUACCCUUAUUUCUUCAGGGAUUUUGUUAACUUCCAUGCCAAUCCUCUCUAUCCAAUUCUCAACCAUUAACAUAACCUGUGGGGCCCCGAAUCCUCUAAAAGCUGUAUUACUAGGAAGAUUAGUGAAGCAGACAUUUCCAUAAACCCUCAUAUUUGGUAUGUCAUAUGCAUUGUUCCCUUGGAGCAUAGCACCUUCAAGUACAGUAAGUGAUAGAUCUAGAGAAUUUCCACCAUUAUUGUAGAUACUAAGAUCAAAGGCAAGCACCUUCCCCUCAUUUGUAAAACCAACCUAAAAAUAAGAAAAGAGUAGUCAAAUUAUUCAUCCAAUCCAAAAAAAAAUGCUACUUCCUCCGUUUCAUUUUAUGUGAACCAGUUUGACUGUGCACGGAGUUUAAGAAAGACAAACUUUUGAAACUAGUGGACUGAAACACGCCAUGACAUAUGCAUGGCUAUAAAAUCAUGUCAUUGAGGGUAAAAUGAGAAGUUUAAAGUUAAAUUAUUUCCAAAUAAUGCCUAAAGAACUCUCAUCUGUUUAUGUUGCUCAACAGUUCAAUGUCUUUCGGUAAAUUGGAAGGAAUACAUAUUCGUCCAUCACAACAUAUAUGACACACUUACCAUUUUGACACCCUCAAAUAACAAAAAAUUGUUCACCAGAUACUAGUACACAAAUUCAAAUUUAAACUAAUCCCAAAAGAUUUGACACACUCAAAUAACAAAAAAUUGUUCACCAGAUACUAGUACACAAAUUCAAAUUUAAACUACAAUAUCAUGUAUUUCCCAGAAACUCUUGAGAAUAAAUACCGCAGAAGUGAAUGAGUUAAACAAGCUUUCCCAUGCCAUACAAAUGUCGCAUGGAAUGGGUCUAGCUGUGUAUAACAUGAUCACAAACUCAUCUACUUACCUUGUACUUUCCGAAAAAGCUAUGCCGCUGCCCAGUUAUCUUCAUGUCUAUAUCCCUAUCCAGAAUGAGUUUCACUGGACGAUCCAACAGGUAUGAUGGAACAGCAACUGCAGCAGCAAGGAAAGCAGAUCUACUCUCCUUGCCUCCAAAUCCACCACCUAUCCUUUUAGUCUUGCAAACCACUUUUGACAUCGGAAGACCAAGAACGUGAGAAACAUACUCCUGGUGCUUCUGAGGAGCCUGCAAAAUAGACAAUGAUUCUGUCACCAAAUUUUCAGCAGAGAUAUUAAAUUACAGGGAUGUAGCAUUUUAAGCGGUUUCAACCUAAUUCAUAUGUCGAACCAAACCAGGCUUACAGCAUAAUAAUGAUCUGUAGAAUUCUAAACAAACUUAAGGAACUAACUAAGAUUGAAGUCAAAGAGAACACUCAUGAUUAUUUCUAAUCUGACAAUGCCAAACUUAGAUAAUUUUAAUCGAUCACACAUAUAUAUCAUGCGAGUGUGAGAAGCAAAAUUAUGCAGAGCAAAAUGAUGAACUUUAGCAGGGAGCUAUGCUAUUUAUAGUUAAAGAUAGGUUUUGCAUGAUUUUUUACUUUGCGUAAAAAAGUAGAGAGUAGCAGUACAGAAUAAGCAUUUUAAUAUGCAUAUCAUGGUAAAAUGUGUGCCAUUUGGGCCUUUCAAGAAUACAAAAAUAUGCAGUGUAUAUUCUUGUGUUUUCUAACAUACAUUAACAUCUAGUGCUCUUUGGAAAUAAGAGCAAUUUAUUAACUGAAAUUGACUUCCAUGACAGGAUUGAAGCUUUAUGAAGAAGAAAUGGCUGUCAAUUCAAUGGCCGAUGGAUAGCAAUUACACUUAUUACCACCUUUUUAAAGGGAUUAUUAAAAAUUACAUGUAACCAAGCAAACAACAGAUGUUAUGGGGAAAAAGAUAAACGAAGAACCCAACACCACAAUUGAUGUCCUAUAAACCAAAAUAUACUUGACAAACCAUGAGAAAAUAACUAGAUUUCUGUUGAAGUACCUGGGUAGAUGAGAGCAUGUGCACCUCAUUCCCACUAUCCACUGUCCAUAUUAAAGUGCCCUGAGGCUCCAAAUAAAAAUGUUCCUGACCACCUCCCCUAACUUCUCCUUCUAUAAUAUGGUCACAUUGACCUGAUUGAAAACACUGUUCAACAUCAUCCAUAUUCAGACGCCUUUCCGCAUUAGGAUGAUAACUGUUAGCCUGUAUAGCAUCCUCUACUGAUAAAACUGCAGGUAGCUCUUCAUACUCAACUUGAACUUUUCUAGCAGCAAGUUUUGCAUUUUCAUGUGUGUCAGCUACAACAACUCCGAUAACCUACAAAAUAAUAGUAUUCACCCAGAAAAUAAUAGGCCCAAGGUCCAUUUCUUUAACAUGAAUAUUAAUCUAUAUUAGGGUAUAGAUAUAUUUAAUCAUGGAAACAACAUCUCAAAGCAUGGUGUCAUACCUGACCCACACAAGUGACAAACUCCAUGGCAAAAACUUCUUAAUCAGCAACAAUUGCUCCAAUUUUGUUGUUACUAGGUACGUCUUUAGCCAAAAAUAUUCCAGCAAAUCCAGGAGAGGACUUGGCACCCGAAUCGUCUAUUGAAAGUAUAUGAGCAUGAGGUUUUUCGCUCAAUACCACAAUUGGGUGGCGUUGGCCCAUCAUCAAGAUAUUCUGCUUCUCCAGAUACCUGAAAAUGGUCACGUUUUCCAGCAAAAUAUUAAGUGGUGAUUUCGGAAAAGCAUAGCAGAUGAAGGACAACUAUUUUAUCAGAAUGCCAGUUCCAGAAUAGACAAACAAUUUCAAAGUUCAUACACUAUAGACAUCACGAUUAUAGUAAAAGUUUCCUUCCCAGAAGAAAGAGUUAUACCUAAGCAAAGUUAGAAGCAACAAACGGACCCAAAGUUGUUGGUAAUUAUUAAUAAAGUAAUACAAAAAUCCAUUUACUUAUUGGAUCCACGAAUAUUAAAGUGCACCAAUGGUGUUUAUCGAUAGAAAUAUGCUCCUACACAAGCCAGAAAACAAAUAAAAUGGGAAAAAGCUAAAACGUGAAACCACUACCCCAAACACAAUUUUUGAAAGCUAAAUGUCUUAGUAGGCAUUUUGCCAUAGAUUCCAAAUAUUUUUCAUUUUUUUGGAAUUUAUGGAGUUGGGGUUGGAGUUGUGUUUGAUUAUACUUUUUGUAAAGAAUAGUUAGUCUAAUGUUCAUGCUAAAUGUACUUAAAUUCAACUUCAAUAGUGAAAAGUGAGUUAAAAAUAGGUUAUAAGUUCUUUUAUCAAGUUAUGAACAUUGUUACCUGAAGCCUUGAUGAAAGAUGAGCCUCAGGGGAACCCACAGAAUUACCCUGCUUCUUAAUCUCAAAAUCCUGAACUGAACCAACGUAUGGUCGAAGAGGUGAAUCUACAGCUGAAAUAUGUGAAGCUGGAACUUUCUCAAUAAAUGAUGGUUGUCCAUCCAUUUGAUGACAAACCCACAAGAAAAAUUUGAAGAAGAAACUAAACGUUAGUGAUUUUCGGAAUUCAACCAUCCCACCCGAUGCAUCUUCCUUCAGCACAAUUUCCUCCCCUAACAUUUUCAAAGCACCAUGCAACAGCUCCUUGUUCCAAUUUUUCCCGACUAAAAAAUGACUAGUUUUUGAUGCAGCAAAUGAAAAUGGAGCGACCCCACCAUACACAAUCAAAGCAUCUGAAACUACCCAUUUCCGGUGCUUCUCUUCAAGGCAGACACGCAUCCCAGCAUUCACGAUGGCAAAAUCAUCAUCUCUUCUAUG
rnacentral:lncRNA from 1 species